CUCUGUAUAGUACCUUCCCCUGAUUCAUAACUUCUGGCAACCACUGAUUUGUUUUUAAUUACCAUGGUUUGUUUUUAAGAACAUCAUGUAAAUGGAACCACACCAUUAUAUAGUUUUGAGACCAGCUUCUUUCUUUCACUUACAUUAUGUCUUAGAGAGUCAUCUGAGUUGUUCCAUGUGUCAAUAAUUUAUUCCUUUGCAGUAUUCCAUUGUAUGGAUGUAUUGCAGUUCGUCCAUUUAUCCAUUGAGGAACAUUUGGGUUGUUUAUAGUUUCUGACUAUUACAAAUAAAGCUGCUAUGAAUAUUUGUGUAUAGUCUUUCAUGUGAAUAUAGUUUUCAUUUCCUUGGGGUAAGUUUCCAAGUGGAGAUUGCUGGUCCUAUGUAUGUUUAACUUUGUAAAAACUGCCAUAUUGUUUUCCAGAGUGGCUGAACCAAUUUUGCAUUCCCACCAGCAAAGUGAGAAGUCCAAUUGCUCUGUAUCCUCUCCAGCAUUUGGUAUUCAGUAUUUUUUAUUGUAGCCAUUCUAGUAGUUGUGUAGUAUCUAUCUCAUUGUGGUUUUAGUUUGAAUUUGCCUAAUAGCUAAAAAUGUUGAAUACACUUGCAUGUGCUUAUUUGCUAUCCUUAUAUCCUUUUUAGUGAAGUGUCCUCAUCCUUUCCUGGUUUUUCAUUAGAGUGUUUAUUUUCAGAUUGUUGUGUUUUGAGAGUAUUUUCUACAUAUGAUAUAAGGGGUAUUUUAGAUAUGUUAUUUCCAUACAUAUUCUCCCAGUCUGUAGCUUAUCUUUUUGUUCUCUUGACAGUUCUUUGGCAGAACAGUUUUUAAAUUUGGUGAAAUCCAGUUUAUCAAUUUUUUUUUUCUCUUUACUGGAUUGUGCUUUUGAUGCCCUUUCCAAGAAUUUUUUAACCAACUGCAGUUAACAAAGAUUUUCUCCUGUGUAUUAUUCCAAAAUGUUUAUGGUUUUGUUUUAUAUUCAGAUCUAUGAUCCAUUUUGUGUUCAUCUUUCUAUAAAGUGUGAGGUGUAGAUCCAGGUUUUUGUUUGUUUUUUUUUUUUUACAUAUGAAUGAUCAGUUGUUCAUCACCAUUUGUUAAAAAGACUGUCCUUUCUGGGGCUCCUGGCUGCCUCAGUAGGUUGAGCGUCUGACUUCGGCUCAGGUCAUGAUCUCAUAGUUGUGAGUUCGAGCCCCACAUCUGGCUCUCUGCUGUCAUUGCAGAGCCAACUUCAGAUCCUCUGUCCCCCUCUCUUUUUGCCCUUCCCCACUCAUACACACACACUCUCUCUCUCUCUCUCUCAAAAAAAUAAAUAAACAUUUUUUAAAAACUUAAAAAAAAUAGUAAAAAAACUAUUCUUUCUCCAAUGAAUUGCCUUUACAUCUUUGUCAAAGAUUAAAUGUCUACAUCUGUGGAUUCAUUCCUGGAGUCUGUUCUGUUGCAUUGAUUUAAGUAUCCAUCCCCUCACCAAUAUCAUAUUGUCUUGAUUAUUAAUGGCUUUGUAGUAUUAAAAUCAGAUAUUGUAAUAACUUUGUUAUCAUUUUAUAAAGUUACUCUAGCUAUUCUAGUUCCUUUCCCUUUCCAUCUAAAUUUUAGAAUGAGUCAUGUAUACCUACAAAAAAACUUGACGGAACUUCGAUUGUUAUUAUAGUCUGUAGAUCACUAUGGAGAGAAUUGAUUCUAACAUUUUGAGUCUUCAAUCCAUGAACAUAGUACAUGUUUCCAUUUAUUUAGAUCUUUAGCGUCUCUUAUCAGAGUUUUGUAAUUAUCGUUUAUACAUUCUCUACAUAGAUUUAUACCUAAGUACUUCAUUUUUCUUGGGACUAUAGCAAAUGGUAUUGUUUUUGUGGUUUUCAAUUGUUUAUUGUUUAUAUAUAGAAAAAAGUUUGGAAUGAAAUAUUUUUCAAUGUUUGCAAUGUUAUCUCAGGUGGUAGUAUUAUAUAGGUGACUUUUAUUUUUUGUUUAUCUGUAUUUUCUGUCUUUAUAAUGAAUAUGCAUUACUUUUAUAAUAUUUAAUGUUAUUCUUUUAAGAAAAAAAAGGACAAGCUUCUACACUAAAACUACUACAGUAUUGGCACAACUUUGGACCUAAAGGUGAUUACUUGUAUGCCUGACACGUCCAGCGUGCUCUAAGAUUCUUGGGAGAAGAUGAAAAGGAAAUUCCCCCAGGAGACUCCCAUGAGAAUUAGAGAAGUAGAACUGGAUAUCGGUGAAUAAUUACAAAUAAAAGGAGUUCAUUGUAGUUGGUUAAGAUGAAUCAGGUUAACUUUCAGUAGCUGUAAACAACUUUCUACAUAUGUGUUACUUAUGAUGGACUUUGUGUAAUUGGUUUAUAAAUAAAGUUCUGAACUCCCAUUUUAAAAUUAUUUUACCUUUAGUUUAUCUCUUAUGAAUCUGGUUUAAAGCUUCUGGUACCUGCUAGUGGGCUUAGGGAAGCAUUGUGAUAUUGAACAUAUGAGAACGAGUUCACAGUUAUCUCAGAAUGUCAGCACCAGUACCAAAGAGACAAUGAAU